CUACGGGAGGCUCCAGUGAGGAAUUUUGGUCAAUGGGCGCGAGCCUGAACCAGCCAUCCCGCGUGCAGGAUGACGGCCCUAUGGGUUGUAAACUGCUUUUCUAUGCCAAGAAACCUGAUUACGUGUAAUCAGUUGCCGGUAGCAUAGGAAUAAGCAUCGGCUAACUCCGUGCCAGCAGCCGCGGUAAUACGGAGGAUGCAAGCGUUAUCCGGAUUCAUUGGGUUUAAAGGGUGCGCAGGUGGGCUUGUAAGUCAGUGGUGAAAUGCUGCCGCUUAACGGUAGAACUGCCAUUGAUACUGCGAGUCUUGAGUAUGGUUGAGGUAGGCGGAAUGUGUUGUGUAGCGGUGAAAUGCAUAGAUAUGACACAGAACGCCAAUUGCGAAGGCAGCUUACUAAGCCAUUACUGACGCUGAGGCACGAAAGCGUGGGGAGCGAACAGGAUUAGAUACCCUGGUAGUC
rnacentral:rRNA from 1 species